rnacentral:rRNA from 1 species
UGACGCUCAGGUGCGAAAGCGUGGGGAGCAAACAGGUAUUAGAUACCCUGGUAGUCCACGCCGUAAACGAUGUCGAUUUGGAGGUUGUGCCCUUGAGGCGUGGCUUCCGGAGCUAACGCGUUAAAUCGACCGCCUGGGGAGUACGGCCGCAAGGUUAAAACUCAAAUGAAUUGACGGGGGCCCGCACAAGCGGUGGAGCAUGUGGUUUAAUUCGAUGCAACGCGAAGAACCUUACCUGGUCUUGACAUCCACAGAACUUUCCAGAGAUGGAUUGGUGCCUUCGGGAACUGUGAGACAGGUGCUGCAUGGCUGUCGUCAGCUCGUGUUGUGAAAUGUUGGGUUAAGUCCCGCAACGAGCGCAACCCUUAUCCUUUGUUGCCAGCGGUCCGGCCGGGAACUCAAAGGAGACUGCCAGUGAUAAACUGGAGGAAGGUGGGGAUGACGUCAAGUCAUCAUGGCCCUUACGACCAGGGCUACACACGUGCUACAAUGGCAUAUACAAAGAGAAGCGACCUCGCGAGAGCAAGCGGACCUCAUAAAGUAUGUCGUAGUCCGGAUUGGAGUCUGCAACUCGACUCCAUGAAGUCGGAAUCGCUAGUAAUCGUAGAUCAGAAUGCUACGGUGAAUACGUUCCCGGGCCUUGUACACACCGCCCGUCACACCAUGGGAGUGGGUUGCAAAAGAAGUAGGUAGCUUAAACCUUCGGGAGGGCGCUUACCACUUUGUGAUUCAUGACUGGGGG